rnacentral:tRNA from 1 species
GAUUAAAUGGCUGAUAAUAGGCGGUAAACUGUAAAUUUAUUUAUGGGAGAUUUUCCCUUUAAUCA